rnacentral:rRNA from 1 species
GAAAGAAACUAACGAGAAUUCCUUUAGUAACGGCGAGUGAAGCAGGAAUAGCCCAGCACCGAAUCCUCUCUGCCCUUGCGUGGAGCGGGACAUGUGGUGUUAGGGAGGCAAGCAGCGCUGGCGCGGUCGUCUCGGUGCCCAGGUCCUCGUGAUCGUGGCUUUUCGCCCCAUCGAGGGUGUAAGGCCCUUCGUGGCGCCGGACUCGCGUCGCCCGCGAGCCUCCUUGGAGUCGGGUUGCUUGAGAUCGCAGCCCAAAGUGGGUGGUAAACUCCAUCUAAGGCUAAAUACUGGACACGAGUCCGAUAGUAGACAAGUACCGCGAGGGAAAGUUGAAAAGAACUUUGAAGAGAGAGUUCAAUAGUACGUGAAACCGCACAGAGUCAAACGGGUGGAGCCGCAAUGUCGCUCGUCCCGGGGCAUUCAGCCCGUUUUCUUGCUGCCGGGCCUUCCUGGAUGGCGGGGCGCCCUCUCGAGGGUGCUCCCACCGGGGUUAGGACAAGCCGGCGGCGAGACGGGUGCACUUGCUCCGGUCGUCGAGAGCCACGACCGGUUCCUUCGCAGGCAGUGUGGACUCCCUUUGGUCGGGUUAACGGCGGUGUGGACCGUUCUGGUUCCUUCGGGGGCCGCGGUCGCCUGCUCCGACUGGGAGGGAAACUGGCCUGGGGACCGAGGACUGCAGGGUUUUUUCUCGGCGGGGCGCCUCCGUCACUCUCGAGCCGUGUGCCCUUGUCGCCUCCCUUCGCGGGGACGGUCGGCAAUACGGGCGCGAGGACGCAUCGGGAGGGGGCGGGCGGCAAACCGUCGGGAGUUUUUACCUCUGCCUGUCAGUGGCGGAUCAGGUCGGUACUCCACCCGACCCGUCUUGAAACACGGACCAAGGAGUCUAGCAUGUGCGCGAGUCAAUGGGAUUGUACGAAACCCUACGGCGCAAUGAAAGUGAAGGCUCUUCCUCCGCGGAGGCCUAGGCAGGAUGCUGUGGUGAAAAAGCAGCCGCACUGCCGGCCCGUCCCGAUCGCCUUUGACGAUGGGGCGGAGCUAGAGCGCACACGCUGGGACCCGAAAGAUGGUGAACUAUGCUUGAGCAGGACGAAGUCAGGGGAAACUCUGAUGGAGGUCCGCAGCGAUUCUGACGUGCAAAUCGAUCGUCAAACUUGAGUAUAGGGGCGAAAGACUAAUCGAACCAUCUAUA